AACUAUAAAGGAGCUUAAGAAGCAGACUCUUUCUCGGUUCUCGUCCGAUCACCGAAGUUAGGCAACGUCGAGCCCGGUUAGUACUUGGAUGGGUGACCGCCUGGGAAUACCGGGUGCUUGUAGGCU
rfam:Helobdella robusta unplaced genomic scaffold HELROscaffold_93, whole genome shotgun sequence.